GCCCGCUCAGGAUCGCACCUGGAGAGUUUCCGGUCCUCUACCAGUCUCAGCUAUGGGAGGGAGAGUCAAGCAGAGGCAGACCCACUCCAUUCCUAGCUUGGACAGUGGCUAGCAAGUGGAAGGCAAUCUGCUACAAGU